UACGAAGGGGGCUAGCGUUGCUCGGAAUUACUGGGCGUAAAGGGCGCGUAGGCGGCACUGUUAGUCAGGCGUGAAAGUCCUGGGCUCAACCUGGGAACUGCGCUUGAUACGGCAGAGCUAGAGGAUGGAAGAGGAUCGCGGAAUUCCCAGUGUAGAGGUGAAAUUCGUAGAUAUUGGGAAGAACACCGGUGGCGAAGGCGGCGACCUGGUCCAUUACUGACGCUGAGGCGCGACAGCGUGGGGAGCAAACAGG
rnacentral:rRNA from 1 species